CAGGAGGAACUUCACUGGCUCCCCCAGUCAAUAGAAUCUUUUGGGCACCACUUCAUCCCCUGGGAUGUGGCAGCAAGUACACAAUCUCUUCAUCACGGAGCUGGCAUUUGGAGAUGGCAUUUGGCACACACACAAAUGGAUAGUGCUGGGGAAGGCACCAUCACACAUCAGCCACCCUAGGGUGAUGAUAUGGAGUUAGGCUGCCCUGCAUGCUUGGGAAGGAGCAUCCAACUAGCGGAAGAGUAAGAGCCACCACUUGACAGCAGGGACUGUCCACCUGGUCCUGUGACAUUAGAGGGAGAGAAGCCACGCAGAGAACAAACAGGUUUCUAGCUUCUAAAAUGUACCCUGUCAUCUAACUUGCCCAAGAUGGAUGGCUUCCAAGAUUAUUUGGGCUAUUCUUGAAACUGCCCAGUCCUCUGAUGGACAAGCAGAGAGAGUCAGCAGAUGUAGAAAACCCCAGGAUGUCAUGGCCACAGCCACUGAUUGACAGGUGGGGAACAUUCUACUCUACAGAAGAAUACAUUUGCUUCAAGUACACAUUAAAUAUUCAACAAGAUUGAUCGUAUUCGGGACCGUGAUAUAAACUGGGACAGGUUUGCAAGGAUUAAACGCAUACAAAGCAUGUGCACUCUUUAACCAUAACAAAAUUGUAUUUAAAAUCAAUAACAGAAAAAUGUUGGGAAAACCUAGACAUUGGAUUAUCUGAAAAUUUGAAAAUUAAAUAACCCAUUUAUAAAUCAAAGCACCAUAAGUCUAAAUAUCAAACAUACCAGAAAAGCAAGCUGAGUGUAGUGGCAUGCACCUACAAUCCUAGCACUUGGGAGGUAGAGGCAGAAGAAUUAGAGAGAAGAGGUCAUCUUUUACUACUUACUAAGCUUGGUGCCGGGUUAGAUUACAUGAAGUCCUUUCUCAAAAACCUUAGCAGGCGUUGAUGAAAAAAAAAAAACCAGACUGGUCGGUGGUGGCUCAUACCUUUAA